UACGGAGGAUGCGAGCGUUAUCCGGAUUUAUUGGGUUUAAAGGGUGCGUAGGCGGACUGUCAAGUCAGCGGUAAAAUUGAGAGGCUCAACCUCUUCCCGCCGUUGAAACUGGUGGUCUUGAGUGGAUGAGAAGUACGCGGAAUGCGUGGUGUAGCGGUGAAAUGCAUAGAUAUCACGCAGAACUCCGAUUGCGAAGGCAGCGUACCGGCAUCCAACUGACGCUGAGGCACGAAGGCGUGGGGAUCAAACAGG
rnacentral:rRNA from 1 species